AAUAAGCGUAUCCAUGAGUUUCCGUGUCCAACUUUGAUCGUCUAUCUUAUUUGAUUUAUGAUUAGUGUUUUUAUUGUUAUUAGAUUACAAAACAUGAAUAGUACUUUAUGCGUGACUAAUGUCUUUUUAGUUUUUCAAAAUAAUUUUAAAUAAGACGGACAAUUAAAGUUGAAUAAGGAAACUCAUGGUUGCGCUUAUU
rfam:Oryza glaberrima chromosome 6 Oglab06_0203_1, whole genome shotgun sequence.